UGGGUUUGACAUGCGCCAGACGCGUCCAGAGAUGGGCGUUCCCUUGUGGUUGGUGUGCAGGUGGUGCAUGGCUGUCGUCAGCUCGUGUCGUGAGAUGUUGGGUUAAGUCCCGCAACGAGCGCAACCCUCGUUCCAUGUUGCCAGCGGGUUAUGCCGGGGACUCAUGGGAGACUGCCGGGGUCAACUCGGAGGAAGGUGGGGAUGACGUGUCCUUGAUAGG
rnacentral:misc_RNA from 1 species